CGCCUCCGUCACCUCUGCGUCAAUUCCGGGUCAGCGGUCAUUUGAUCCGACAGGGCGACUGCCUGUGUGCUGCUCCGGCCCCCCUGUAUGCACUGCUGCGUGUGUCUGUGGUAAAUGCUGGUGGCUGCCAGGGGUCCUCUCUCCCUCCCUCCUCUCGUGAGUGUGUGUCCAUCGCUGCUAAAAAGGAAUUACUGUAACCAGCUUAUUGGGGCGCUGCUGUUUUGUCUCCGCUGCGGCUGCUGCUGUCUCCCCUGCUUCUGCUGUUUUGUCUGCUGUUUUGUCUCCACUGUGGCUGCUGCUUUGCUUCCACCGCAUCUGCGGUGUGUCUCUGCUGCGGCUUCGCUUUUAUGGCACAGCGCCACGCGGCGGUCUUAUAAACCGCUUUGUAGCUCUGCUUCAACAAAAUGGACCCUUGGUGACUGUUUCAACGUCUGGUGCGGGCAGUUGCUCGGCCGCACGCCGGGGCAUGGUUCUCUAUUUAUAUGGAAUGCAUGUGUGAAAGCGUGGGUUUACACCAUUAUUUUUGGUUAUUUGUAUAGGUUUAUUUGUAUGUUUUGUUUGGGUUGAACUUGAUUCGGUCUGUUUGUGUAACUCAUUUGCUAAUUAAUUGAAUUAAUUUGAAAGGUCUCUUAUGCAAUUAGGAAAUUGUUUUGUUUUUCUGUUCUUUAGCCUUAUUUUCUUUUUUGUUUGGGUUAUAUUUGUUUGAAUCCAAAUUGGGUAGUUAUUGGUUGAUAUAUUUUGUUAAGUUUCAGUUUGUGCCCUGCCCCUUUUAAUUAUAAUUUUGUUAGAUUUUGCUUUGUGUUUUUGUUGCAACCCCACUAAUUUGUUUUAUCUUCCCCUCUUUUCAGUGGCUGGAGGCCCGUGGUGGCGGUGUUGGUGAUCUGGUGUUGGCACCCUUCUGUCUUGUCUGCUGUGUUCCUGGGAGUGGGUUACUUCACUGAGUGUGUGUCUGCCACGUGUGUCCGGUGAUAUAAGUUGAUUUCUGUUUUUUUUUUUUUGGUGGAUCCUUCCCCUGCACUAGGCCCCGUCUAUCAACUAGGCCUCAGCCCUGAUCAGUUUCCUUUUCCCCUCCCUGCGUGACAUUUUUAAUUACAAUUUUUACCCAAUUUGUUUAAUAAAGUGUAUUUUUAGCAAUUGGAUCCACGUCUCACGCCUCUUGAGUAAACGUACCUGUGUGCCUUGUAUUGCAAAAAUAAUCCUCUGGGUGAAAUUCCCAGGGUGGCUUUGUUGACAACCUUAGCUUUACUAUCCUUACUCCUCCUCCUCGCCACACAAGUGUUACAGGUCGACGUGGUUUCGCCAGGUUUCGCCAAGUGUCCCAGUGCAGCAGCAUGUGAUCUAGAGGGCUGAAUACAGUGGCAAAGAGCAAAGUGAACCUGGAGC